CACCGUUGCCAUGGCAACGGAAAGCUACGACCACGGAGGGAGGCACGGAGAUUGAAAAGAUGAAAGAACUGCAACCUCAGAUAGCUAAAGAAGAGAGUUACAGUUUGCAUUUGGAUUCUGAUGUCUGGAAUACCCUGCCACCAAGAAGAGUUCUGCAUAUGGCAAAAUGUUUGGGAAACCCAUUAUAAUUUUGCGAAAACCAGAAGUACAAAAGCAGGAAUAUCAAUGAAAUUAAAUGGAACAGAUAAUGAAGUAGUCCUUGGCUGACAAUUAAUUUUAAACAGGCCAUGCCAGCUACAGAUUUUGGAGUGGGGUGGGAGCUCUUUGAUAGAAGACUUUGUCAUUAGCAGCCCAUGUCUUUGAAGAUUCCCACCUCCUCUUCUCUACCGCUACUGCUAUUGUCCAGUUGUUCCUUUCUUUCUUCUGGGUCCAAUAAGUAGCACAUCCUCGCCUAGCUCUUUUGAUCAAACAGCCAAGGACAAAGCCAUAGGGUUCAUCUGAUCAGCAACGGGUGCCCUUAUUGGACCUUGGAUCUUGGUGCACACUCAACAAUGCCUAAUCCUGUCACCUUUCCUGAGUUGGACCCUAUUUUCAACUGAGCAAGGGCCUGAAAAGCCUCCUACAUUAGAUCCACCUAUUAAAGCAUUCCCACAGUAGUCAAGUCACAAGUAAAAAACCCUCAUCAAUGUUCUCCCAAUGGAAACUUUAGCCACACUCUUCUUUUCAGACAUCUCACUGGCUUUUCUGUGUAUUUUGACAUCUGCAUGAGAAGAAGAGGCAAGGGUGUUCAUAUUACCAGGAAGACUUCCUUGGUUGCAACUCUUUUUGGACAAAUGUGCCUGAGGUGCAUAACUGCCUUGAAUUUGUUUAGAGGAAAGAGGUGUUGCCACAAUAGGCAUCGGACCCUGACCCUAUGUUGAAAUAUCAUUGUCAAAAAUACAACCAGAAGAGAUUUUACAGCAGGUUAUCUGCUCUUCAACAGUUGGCAACCACUGAGAGAAGAGAACGGAAGAAAACGCUGGACUGACAUCUGCCAAGCAGGCUUAAGAUACAGGUUAUCACAUAUGGAGGAAAACACACCAUUGGCAUCAGAGGACCCACAAAUAAAACUGAAACAGAGCCAAGUUCAACAUCACUUAAAAUGUAUCUAAUGACACCGUCUCAGUUUCAAAAAGUUAACCAGGAGCAGGAAUGACACCUAGAGCAGCAAAACAGCAAAUGGAGAAAAAAAAGCAUACAAGCAUGCACGCACGCACACAUACACACAUAUGACUGCUGUGCACAACCUAGCUACUAAACGGUUACAUUAAUAGAACACUACAUGCAUUUGGAUCUAAUGUAUGUGUCUAGAAUGCAAGACAAAAGGUUUACAAAAUUAAUGAUACCAAUAAUUAAAAUGCACUAGAGCUAAGUGAAUCAUUUUUAAGUGUGUUGAAGUACACUUUACAGUAGUUUCUUCAAUAGAAGACAAAACUACUGCUUUUUUCAAAACGGUUAGCAAGAUUAUUUAGGGAAAGCAAGGCUAUAAUAGGCACUAUAGGGAGCAGUUAUUUUCAUAGCUGAGAAUCCCAUUGAUAACCGUUGAAGACUUCUUUUCCAAAGCAUAUUUUCAGCCCUUUUGGCUAGAGGAAGUUUUGAGCAGUAACUGGUCUACACCUAAACCCAGGUAUACAGUGUCACCACUCUUCAAGUAUUAAUUUAACACUGGUAGGGAAAAGCAGGAAAAGAGGCUGAUGAUAAAAAAGCAGGAAAACACUUCCAUUAAUUCGUCAUGAUGAGCUUCCUGCACAUAACCUAAAAUAUCCAGUGUUGCCAUGUGACAGAAAAACCAUAAGAGCCAUAAAAAUCAGUACAGGAACUUUUCCCAGUUUAAAACUACAACUAUCAGAACCACCCAGGUACAGUGGUGCCUCGCUUAACGGGUGCCCCGUUUAAUGACGAA